rnacentral:misc_RNA from 1 species
CUCUCUAUGCUUCUUCAAUACCUUAUGGUGCGUAUCUGUGUCUCGAUUUUCUAUUUCUGCUCUGUUUGUUUACUCGGAAAACAGUUUUCUUAUCAUAUCUCUGUCGUUUUCAACUGGUUACACAGGUUGAAAGCAAUCGAAAUUGAGAUCUGCAAAAGUUUGUAAUAUGGCGGAGGAGCACAGAUGCAAAGCGCCGGAAGGUCACCGUCUCUGCGCCAAUAACUGUGGGUUUUUCGGGAGUUCCGCCACGAUGAACCUCUGCUCCAAAUGUUACAGUGACUAUUGUCUCAAGGAACGACAACAACAACAAGAAGCUUCCGUUAAAGCCUCACUCUACGUUUCAUCUUCGUUGCCUUCUGUCCCCGUCGGCGAUUCUCAGCCUUCCCCGGCGAUCGCCUUACCAGAGGUACGGAGUCCUGCGACGGAGGUGCCGGCAGCGGUUGAGCAGCCGAGUCGGUGCUUCACGUGCAGGAAGCGGGUCGGCUUGAGCGGAUUUAAAUGCCGGUGCGGGAUUACGUUCUGUGGGACACAUAGGUACCCGGAGCAGCACGGCUGCACCUUCGAUUUCAAGAAGGUCGGAAGAGAGGAGAUCGCGAGGACUAAUCCUCUCGUCGUAGCUGAGAAGCUCGACAAGAUUUAAUCUGGACCGGUGGAUCUUAUGAACCGGGGAAAAAAAACAACAAAAGGAUGAUCGGCCUUGAAUCAGAUGAAAAACCACCACCUUCAUCACAACCGUGAAUCACGCAGCUGUUCUGGCAUAUGUCUAUGAAGUUAGAAAAUCUUUUCUCUAUAUUCCUUCUUAAUAUUAUUAUAAAAUUAUAUUCUCAAAAAAAUAAUUUGUGAAAAUAUUAAAAAAGAAAAAAAAAAGAUGGCAUAUCCUUUGAUUGG